rnacentral:rRNA from 1 species
CACAAUGGGGGGAACCCUGAUGCAGCCAUGCCGCGUGUGUGAAGAAGGCCUUCGGGUUGUAAAGCACUUUCAGAUUGUGAGGAAAGGUUAGUAGUUAAUACCUGCUAGCUGUGACGUUAGCAACAGAAGAAGCACCGGCUAACUCCGUGCCAGCAGCCGCGGUAAUACGGAGGGUGCGAGCGUUAAUCGGAAUUACUGGGCGUAAAGCGCACGCAGGCGGUUUGUUCAAGCCUAGAUGUGAAAGCCCCGAGCUCAACUUGGGAUGGUCAUCUUAAGAACUGGCAGACUAGAGUCCUGGAGAGGGGAGUGGAAUUUCUAGUGUAGCGGUGAAAUGCGUAGAUAUUAGAAGGAACAUCAGUGGCGAAGGCGACUCCCUGGCCAGAGACUGACGCUCAUGUGCGAAAGUGUGGGUAGCGAACAGGAUUAGAUACCCUGGUAGUCCACACCGUAAACGCUGUCUACUAGCUGUUUGUGAGUUUAACUCGUGAGUAGCGAAGCUAACGCGCUAAGUAGACCGCCUGGGGAGUACGGCGCAAGGUUA